rnacentral:rRNA from 1 species
GAUGAACGCUGGCGGUAUGCUUAAUACAUGCAAGUCGUACGAGAGCUUUUAGCUCUAGUGGCGGACGGGUGAGUAACACGUGAGAAUCUGCCCUUAGGAGAAGGAUAACAGCUGGAAACGGUUGCUAAUACUCCGUAUGCCGAGAGGUGAAAGGAUUUAUCCACCUAAGGAGGAGCUCGCGUCGGAUUAGCUAGUUGGUGAGGUAAUGGCUCACCAAGGCCACGAUCAGUAGCUGGUUUGAGAGAACGAUCAGCCACACUGGGACUGAGACACGGCCCAGACUCCUCCGGGAGGCAGCAGUGAGGAAUUUUCCGCAAUGGGCGAAAGCCUGACGGAGCAAUACCGCGUGAGGGAUAAGGAUUUUGGUCUGUAAACCUCUUUUCUCAAGAAAGAAGUUCUGACGGUACUUGAGGAAUAAGCAUCGGCUAACUCCGUGCCAGCAGCCGCGGUAAUACGGGGGAUGCAAGCGUUAUCCGGAAUCAUUGGGCGUAAAGCGCCUGUAGGUUGUUUAAUAAGUCUGUUGUUAAAGACUAGGGCUUAACCCUAGAAAAGCAAUGGAAACUACUAGACUAGAGUAUGGCAGGGGUAGAGGGAAUUUCUAGUGUAGCGGUGAAAUGCGUAGAUAUUAGAAAGAACACCGGUGGCGAAAGCGCUCUACUGGACCAUUACUGACACUCAGAGGCGAAAGCUAGGGUAGCAAAAGGGAUUAGAUACCCCUGUAGUCCUAGCCGUAAACGAUGGAUACUACAUGUUGUGCAUUAUGUACAGUAUGGUAGCUAACGCGUUAAGUAUCCCGCCUGGGGAGUACGCUCGCAAGGGUGAAACUCAAAGGAAUUGACGGGGGCCCGCACAAGCGGUGGAGCAUGUGGUUUAAUUCGAUGCAACGCGAAGAACCUUACCAGGACUUGACAUACUACAAAUUCUUU